rnacentral:rRNA from 1 species
CAGUCGCCGCGGUAAUACGAAGGGUGCAAGCGUUAAUCGGAAUUACUGGGCGUAAAGCGUGCGUAGGCGGUUUGUUAAGUCUGUUGUGAAAUCCCCGGGCUCAACCUGGGAAUGGCAAUGGAUACUGGCAAGCUAGAGUGUGUCAGAGGAUGGUGGAAUUCCCGGUGUAGCGGUGAAAUGCGUAGAGAUCGGGAGGAACAUCAGUGGCGAAGGCGGCCAUCUGGGACAACACUGACGCUGAGGCACGAAAGCGUGGGGAGCAAAUAGGAUUAGAUACCCCAGUAGUCCCUGUCUCUAUACA